GGGGCUGAACGGUUUCGACUUCGCGCAUCGAAUCAAGGGAAGCGUGCCGGUGCAGGCAAGAGACCACCGUAAGCGUCGUUGCGACCAAAUAAGCGCCGAUUCACAUCAGCGCGACUACGCUCUCGCUGCCUAAGCGACGGCUAGUCUGUCAGACCGGGAACGCCCUCGGCCCGGACCCUGGCAUCAGCUAGAGGGAUCUACCGAUGAGUCCGGUCGCGGGACUCCUCGGGACAACCACAGCGACUGGGAUCGUCAUCUCGGCUAGUUCGCGUGACCGGGAGAUCCGAGCAGAGGCAUAGCGAACUGCGCACGGAGAAGCCUUGAGGGAAUGCCGUAGGACCCGGGUUCGAUUCCCGGCAGCUCCACC
rnacentral:tmRNA from 1 species